CAGCAGCCGCGGGAAUACAGAGGGUGCGAGCGUUAAUCGGAUUUACUGGGCGUAAAGCGUGCGUAGGCGGCUUUUUAAGUCGGAUGUGAAAUCCCUGAGCUUAACUUAGGAAUUGCAUUCGAUACUGGGAAGCUAGAGUAUGGGAGAGGAUGGUAGAAUUCCAGGUGUAGCGGUGAAAUGCGUAGAGAUCUGGAGGAAUACCAAUGGCGAAGGCAGCCAUCUGGCCUAAUACUGACGCUGAGGUACGAAAGCAUGGGGAGCAAACAGGAUUAGAUACCCCCGUAGUCCCUGUCUCUUAUAC
rnacentral:rRNA from 1 species